AGCAGCCGCGGUAAUUCCAGCUCCAAUAGCGUAUAUUAAAGUUGUUGCAGUUAAAAGCUCGUAGUUGAAUUUUAGGCUUGGCCAGGCGGUCCGUCUUUGGCGAGUACUGUUCUGUGUCGGGUCUUUCUUUCUGGUUAACCGGUGUGCUCUUUAUUGAGCGUGCCGUGGGAGCCAGGACCAUUACCUUGAAAAAUUAGAGUGUUAAAGCGGGCAUUGCUUGAAUAGAUUAGCAUGGAAUAAUAAAAGUAGGACGUUGGUUCUAUUUUGUUGGUCUAGGACCACCGUAAUGAUUAAUAGGGAUAGUUGGGGGCAUUAGUAUUCAAUUGUCAGAGGUGGAAUUCUUGGAUUUAUUGAAGACUAACUAUUGCGAAAAGCAUUUGCCGAGGAUGUUUCCAUUAAUCAAGAACGAAAGUUAGGGGAUCGAAGACGAUCAGAUACCGUCGUAGUCUUAACCAUAAUUAUGCCGACUAGGAAUCGGGGCGUCGUUAUUUUCACGACUUGCUCGGCGCCUUAUGGAACC
rnacentral:rRNA from 1 species